rnacentral:rRNA from 1 species
UACGGGGGGAGCAAGCGUUGUUCGGAUUUACUGGGCGUAAAGGGCGCGUAGGCGGUCGUGACAAGUCACUUGUGAAAUCUCCGGGCUUAACUCGGAACGGUCAAGUGAUACUGUCGGACUAGAGUACAGAAGGGGCAACUGGAAUUCUCGGUGUAGCGGUGAAAUGCGUAGAUAUCGAGAGGAACACCUGCGGCGAAGGCGGGUUGCUGGGCUGAUACUGACGUGAGGCGCGAAAGCCAGGGGAGCGAAACGGG